rnacentral:rRNA from 1 species
UACGUAGGGGGCAAGCGUUUGUCCGGAUUUAUUGGGCGUAAAGCGCUCGCAGGUGGUUCGUUGCGUCGUGCGUGAAAGACCCCGGCUCAACUGGGGGAUGUCGUGCGAUACGGGCGGACUGGAGGCCAGUAGGGGGAUGCGGAAUUCCGGGUGUAGUGGUGGAAUGCGUAGAGAUCCGGAGGAACACCAGCGGCGAAGGCGGCAUCCUGGACUGGUCCUGACACUCAGGAGCGAAAGCGUGGGGAGCGAGUCCGG